rfam:Schistosoma rodhaini strain Burundi genome assembly, scaffold: SROB_scaffold0003860
GUCAUCAGUUCGGUGGUACAUAUACUAAAAUUGAAACGGUACGGAGAAUAACGUGUCCCCUGUGCAAGGAUGAUACGCAAAAUCGUAAAGCGUCCCACAUUUUU